GGGAUAUAGCUCAGCUGGGAGAGCGCUGCGUUCGCAACGCAGAGGUCACGGGUUCGAAUCCCGCUAUCUCC
rnacentral:tRNA from 1 species